GUUCUGGCAGCCAUCUCGGGGCUGUGUGUUCUGCCCAAACUGCACAAACCAUGAGACCAGGGCAAGGGAGCCCGGGAUGGAUAAUAUUUCCUGACCUCUUUCUUUCUGAAAUGACAACAGAGACCACACUGGGGACGUUGUGAAUGUGAAGAUCAGGCCCAGCAGUGACUCCAUCGUCAGCAUCCCCCUGCAGACUGCAGUCUCCUGUGCUGUAGGCAGUGACUUCUGCUCUGGACUCUUUCAGAGCACUUCGAUAUCACCCAACUGAGAGGUACGUCGGUGGCCUUAAGGAUCAAAGAGGCUCCUUAGCUAGGAAUUUGGGCUUUACUCUUAGAGGCUGAUGGUGUCUCUGGUAAGUUUUUAGCCCAUGGGGACUGCCAUUUCCUUUUUCUUUGUUUUUGAACUUCG
ensembl:lncRNA